rnacentral:ribozyme from 1 species
UGCCCAGCAACUCCUAUUCCUACCUCCUCGUAGUACCGGCAGGAAACUAUGAGCAACCUUAGUGAACCCCGGUGGGAACUUUGGUUGCAGGCUGACAGGGAAGG